AGAGACAUCAGAAUUAGAAGAGUCAGAGAUAUGAUAAGGAGACUCAGGAUUAAAGUCACGAGCAUGUCCUCGACCACGUCUGCCUCGAUCACGGAUGGAAGUACCGACACGAGCAGAAGGGCGAGAAGGUCCCAGAGCCUGGGGAGAUAUGGACUCUGCUAGGAGAACAAGUCUGAUAGUGUCCAAUUAUUCCAAGACUCUCGACAUGGACUGCAUCAGACCAAUUUGAGUAGAGAUAGCCUCACUGGAGCCCC
rnacentral:lncRNA from 1 species